GGCUCUUUAGCUCAGCAGGCAGAGCACCGGAGUGAAGCCCCGGAGGUUCAGGGUUCGAGUCCCUGGGGAGCCACCA
rnacentral:tRNA from 2 species